rnacentral:misc_RNA from 1 species
AAGUCGUAACAAGGUUUCCGUAGGUGAACCUGCGGAAGGAUCAUUAACACGUAUCCAAACGUUAAACCCCCCCCGUGAACCUUCAUCGUGCUCUAGUGGGCCACUGAUAAACACAGCAAUUCCUGGUAAAUCAUUGUCUGAACAUACAAAGCUCCAUUUUCAAUUAUGGAUGGGGUAAAACCGAACAACUGUUAACAAUGGAUAUCUUGGUUCUC